AAUUGAAAAGCAAAGGAUCUUUAACUCUUUAUGGGUCGUGUGUGUUGGCUGAGUGCUCCAUUUUGUGCUGAUUCCGAAGACUGUCCGUAACGUUAUAGCAGAGUAUUGGGAUCUGGUCAUCUACGCUCUUCUCGCACACGUCUUCAUGCUGCUAUCUACCACGAAGAGAGUUCGCCUCUUUGAUCUCGCUUCGGCCAGCGUUCACCUUAACGUUGUCAGACUAACCAUGGUCGGGCAUUAUCAUCUCCAAAUUAGCUAUCUGCUUGUAGCAGUACUGUUCAUCUCCUCCGUGUCUUAUUGCAAAGCUGAUCCGACUGUUCUCUCGUCACCUAUUGGAAGCACCGGACUGAUUAUCAGUGAGGAUGAUGGCAGUACAGAAGCAGUUCUGCCCGUGUGCAUCGCCUCUACCAUAAGACCAGCACCUUCAUCAGCCACUGAUGUAGAUUGGAGUACUGAGGCCAGUGGUGGGGAGUCUGUGUUCAGGAACGUGACGACCUCGCUGAGUGACAGUGGCGGAUGCUACUGGUCCAAUCUGACAGUGGCUAUCGGCCGUGUUACCAACGCAGAGGGCAACUACACCAUCAAUGUAACUACAUCCGCUACUGAAUCUUAUCAGAUGACAAUUCCUCUUGUAUAUACCGUUCCAUUGUGCAUAACGCCAGUGAUCCGGUAUUCUCAAGUACGCUCUAUUGGCCUGAUUCGAAACAUAAACCGGACUUACUGGACUACAUCUAACUACCGUGUAACAUGCGCACCGGGUCUAACAUUGACCAUUCCGCAACACAGUAAAUGUGAAAGGGCACCUGGUGGAGAAUCGGUUUUCAAAAAUGUACCUCAGUGUCUUGGUGAGUAUGACAGUGCCGACCUGGUAGGCUUGAUGUGUGUAUGUGUGUGUGUGUGUGUGUGUGUGUGUGUGUGUGUGUGUGUGUAUGUGUGUGUGUGUGUGUGUGUGUGUGUGUGUGUGUGUGUGUGUGUGUGUG